AGCAGCCGCGGUAAUUCCAGCUCCAAUAGCGUAUAUUAAAGUUGUUGCAGUUAAAAGCUCGUAGUUGAAUUUCGAGACCGGUCUACUGGUCGUGCUUUUGUACGUACUGGUAUAAUCGGUUUCUCUCUUCUGACGAACUAUAAUGCCAUUAAUUUGGUGUUUUAGGGAAUCAGGACUGUUACUUUGAAAAAUUAGAGUGUUUAAAGCAGGCUCACGCUUGAAUACAUUAGCAUGGAAUAACGAAAUAGGACGUUUGAUUCUAUUUUGUUGGUUUCUAGGAUCGACGUAAUGAUUAAUAGGGAUAGUUGGGGGCAUUAGUAUUCAAUUGUCAGAGGUGAAAUUCUUGGAUUUAUUGAAGACUAACUACUGCGAAAGCAUUUGCCAAGGAUGUUUUCAUUAAUCAAGAACGAAAGUUAGGGAUCGAAGACGAUCAGAUACCGUCGUAGUCUUAACCAUAAACUAUGCCGACUAGGGAUCGGGAUGAUGUUAAA
rnacentral:misc_RNA from 1 species